UACGUAGGGGGCAAGCGUUGUCCGGAUUUAUUGGGCGUAAAGAGCUCGUAGGCGGUGUGUCGCGUCGGUCGUGAAAACUUGGGGCUUAACCCUGAGCUUGCGGUCGAUACGGGCAUGACUGGAGUUCGGCAGGGGAGACUGGAAUUCCUGGUGUAGCGGUGAAAUGCGCAGAUAUCAGGAGGAACACCGGUGGCGAAGGCGGGUCUCUGGGCCGAUACUGACGCUGAGGAGCGAAAGCGUGGGGAGCGAACAGG
rnacentral:rRNA from 1 species